GAAAUGCGAUAAUUAAUGUGAAUUGCAGAAUUCAGUGAAUCAUCGAGUCUUUGAACGCACAUUGCGCCCCCUGGUAUUCCGGGGGGCAUGCCUGUCCGAGCGUCAUUACUGCCCUCAAGCACGGCUUGUGUGUUGGGCUUCCGUCCCUGGCAACGGGGACGGGCCCAAAAGGCAGUGGCGGCACCAUGUCUGGUCCUCGAGCGUAUGGGGCUUUGUCACCCGCUCCCGUAGGUCCAGCUGGCAGCUAGCCUCGCAACCAAUCUUUUUAACCAGGUUGACCUCGUAUCAGGCAGGGAUACCCGCUGAACUUAAGC
rnacentral:misc_RNA from 1 species